rnacentral:rRNA from 1 species
GAGGUUAAGCGACUAAGCGUACACGGUGGAUGCCCUGGCAGUCAGAGGCGAUGAAGGACGUGCUAAUCUGCGAUAAGCGCCGGUAAGGUGAUAUGAACCGUUAUAACCGGCGAUUUCCGAAUGGGGAAACCCAGUGUGACUCGUCACACUAUCAUUAACUGAAUCCAUAGGUUAAUGAGGCGAACCGGGGGAACUGAAACAUCUAAGUACCCCGAGGAAAAGAAAUCAACCGAGAUUCCCCCAGUAGCGGCGAGCGAACGGGGAGGAGCCCAGAGCCUGAAUCAGCAUGUGUGUUAGUGGAAGCGUCUGGAAAGGCGCGCGAUACAGGGUGACAGCCCCGUACACAAAAGCGCAUGUGCUGUGAGCUCGAUGAGUAGGGCGGGACACGUGGUAUCCUGUCUGAAUAUGGGGGGACCAUCCUCCAAGGCUAAAUACUCCUGACUGACCGAUAGUGAACCAGUACCGUGAGGGAAAGGCGAAAAGAACCCCGGCGAGGGGAGUGAAAAAGAACCUGAAACCGUGUACGUACAAGCAGUGGGAGCACCCUUUGGGGUGUGACUGCGUACCUUUUGUAUAAUGGGUCAGCGACUUAUAUUCUGUAGCAAGGUUAACCGAAUAGGGGAGCCGGAGGGAAACCGAGUCUUAACCGGGCGUUAAGUUGCAGGGUAUAGACCCGAAACCCGGUGAUCUAGCCAUGGGCAGGUUGAAGGUUGGGUAACACUAACUGGAGGACCGAACCGACUAAUGUUGAAAAAUUAGCGGAUGACCUGUGGCUGGGGGUGAAAGGCCAAUCAAACCGGGAGAUAGCUGGUUCUCCCCGAAAGCUAUUUAGGUAGCGCCUCGUGAAUUCAUCUCCGGGGGUAGAGCACUGUUUCGGCUAGGGGGCCAUCCCGGCUUACCAACCCGAUGCAAACUGCGAAUACCGGAGAAUGUUAUCACGGGAGACACACGGCGGGUGCUAACGUCCGUCGUGAAGAGGGAAACAACCCAGACCGCCAGCUAAGGUCCCAAAGUCAUGGUUAAGUGGGAAACGAUGUGGGAAGGCCCAGACAGCCAGGAUGUUGGCUUAGAAGCAGCCAUCAUUUAAAGAAAGCGUAAUAGCUCACUGGUCGAGUCGGCCUGCGCGGAAGAUGUAACGGGGCUAAACCAUGCACCGAAGCUGCGGCAGCGACGCUGAUGCGUUGUUGGGUAGGGGAGCGUUCUGUAAGCCUGUGAAGGUGGCCUGUGAGGGUUGCUGGAGGUAUCAGAAGUGCGAAUGCUGACAUAAGUAACGAUAAAGCGGGUGAAAAGCCCGCUCGCCGGAAGACCAAGGGUUCCUGUCCAACGUUAAUCGGGGCAGGGUGAGUCGACCCCUAAGGCGAGGCCGAAAGGCGUAGUCGAUGGGAAACGGGUUAAUAUUCCCGUACUUGGUGUUACUGCGAAGGGGGGACGGAGAAGGCUAUGUUGGCCGGGCGACGGUUGUCCCGGUUUAAGCGUGUAGGUGUGUGUUCCAGGUAAAUCCGGUUCACUUUAACACUGAGGCGUGAUGACGAGGCACUACGGUGCUGAAGCAACAAAUGCCCUGCUUCCAGGAAAAGCCUCUAAGCAUCAGGUAACAUCAAAUCGUACCCCAAACCGACACAGGUGGUCAGGUAGAGAAUACCAAGGCGCUUGAGAGAACUCGGGUGAAGGAACUAGGCAAAAUGGUGCCGUAACUUCGGGAGAAGGCACGCUGACACGUAGGUGAAGUGAUUUACUCAUGGAGCUGAAGUCAGUCGAAGAUACCAGCUGGCUGCAACUGUUUAUUAAAAACACAGCACUGUGCAAACACGAAAGUGGACGUAUACGGUGUGACGCCUGCCCGGUGCCGGAAGGUUAAUUGAUGGGGUCAGCGCAAGCGAAGCUCCUGAUCGAAGCCCCGGUAAACGGCGGCCGUAACUAUAACGGUCCUAAGGUAGCGAAAUUCCUUGUCGGGUAAGUUCCGACCUGCACGAAUGGCGUAAUGAUGGCCAGGCUGUCUCCACCCGAGACUCAGUGAAAUUGAACUCGCUGUGAAGAUGCAGUGUACCCGCGGCAAGACGGAAAGACCCCGUGAACCUUUACUAUAGCUUGACACUGAACAUUGAGCCUUGAUGUGUAGGAUAGGUGGGAGGCUUUGAAGUGUGGACGCCAGUCUGCAUGGAGCCGGCCUUGAAAUACCACCCUUUAAUGUUUGAUGUUCUAACGUGGACCCGUGAUCCGGGUUGCGGACAGUGUCUGGUGGGUAGUUUGACUGGGGCGGUCUCCUCCUAAAGAGUAACGGAGGAGCACGAAGGUUGGCUAAUCCUGGUCGGACAUCAGGAGGUUAGUGCAAUGGCAUAAGCCAGCUUGACUGCGAGCGUGACGGCGCGAGCAGGUGCGAAAGCAGGUCAUAGUGAUCCGGUGGUUCUGAAUGGAAGGGCCAUCGCUCAACGGAUAAAAGGUACUCCGGGGAUAACAGGCUGAUACCGCCCAAGAGUUCAUAUCGACGGCGGUGUUUGGCACCUCGAUGUCGGCUCAUCACAUCCUGGGGCUGAAGUAGGUCCCAAGGGUAUGGCUGUUCGCCAUUUAAAGUGGUACGCGAGCUGGGUUUAGAACGUCGUGAGACAGUUCGGUCCCUAUCUGCCGUGGGCGCUGGAGAACUGAGGGGGGCUGCUCCUAGUACGAGAGGACCGGAGUGGACGCAUCACUGGUGUUCGGGUUGUCAUGCCAAUGGCACUGCCCGGUAGCUAAAUGCGGAAGAGAUAAGUGCUGAAAGCAUCUAAGCACGAAACUUGCCCCGA